rnacentral:rRNA from 1 species
GUGGGGAAUUUUGGACAAUGGGCGCAAGCCUGAUCCAGCAAUGCCGCGUGCAGGAAGAAGGCCUUCGGGUUGUAAACUGCUUUUGUACGGAACGAAACGGUCCGGGUUAAUACCCUGGGCUAAUGACGGUACCGUAAGAAUAAGCACCGGCUAACUACGUGCCAGCAGCCGCGGUAACACGUAGGGUGCAAGCGUUAAUCGGAAUUACUGGGCGUAAAGCGUGCGCAGGCGGUUUUGUAAGACAGGCGUGAAAUCCCCGGGCUCAACCUGGGAAUUGCGCUUGUGACUGCAAGGCUGGAGUGCGGCAGAGGGGGAUGGAAUUCCGCGUGUAGCAGUGAAAUGCGUAGAUAUGCGGAGGAACACCGAUGGCGAAGGCAAUCCCCUGGGCCUGCACUGACGCUCAUGCACGAAAGCGUGGGGAGCAAACAGGAUUAGAAACCCGUGUAGUCC